UUCUUACCAAUCCCUUUUAUCUACUUUGGUAUCUCUCUUAAUACAGGCUAAUGAAGAAUUUAGAUUCCUUCUGAAUGAAGUAUAGAAAAAGCAGCUGGUUCAAAACUCAAUAUAGUCCUCUAACAGUUUUACCCAUGGUUAUAGAGACAAGUUUUUGAUAAAAAAAAAAAAAAAAAAAAAAAAUUAAGACGGAAACACACUAAAGUUGUCAAGUCCAGUACCUUAGAGAAGAUUCAUCCCUCUAAUAUCAUAGAAGAAACAGUAAGCACUGAAAGGAUUCCUAAGAAAGAAUACCCUCUUAACAGUCUAAAAGUUAUCAUUUCCGUAUAAAAUAUCCUCAACUCCUCCAAAUUUCAGUAGGCAUAUAACCAUAGGCAAAACUUGAAUUAAGGCAAAGGUUCUUAAACACAGUCAUUGGUCCAUGAACCCCACCCCCGAACUAUAUAAAAGAUAUUAUUCAAAGAUUUCAGAGGAGAAAAUCCCAGUUUUCUCAGAGGAAGUCAACCAAAAGAAACUAAAAUUACAAAACUACAACUCCUGGUAUAGUGGCUUAUAGAAAAGCAUUCAAUCAUGAUUUGCCAAGGAUUCUACAUAUGACACUGGCAAAGACCUAGAUGACAUUUCAAUCAGCUACUGCUAAUAUUAACUAAAAAAUAUAUUAUAAAAAAUUAGUUUUCCUUUUUAAUAAACCCAGCAUUUGAACAUGGAAGAGAAACUGGUGUAGCUAGUUUUAAAAGCCCUAAAGUUCUUUGACAAAUGUUCUUUAAAGGGUAGAAAGAGAACUACAAAAGUACUGAAAAUACUAAGCAAUCAAGAGUUGAUACUGAAUUCUUAGAAUGGGAAAUUCAGCAUCUAUUUUAAAAUAGACUUAUGUUGUGCUUUCAAGUAAAAUUUAAACACCAUUCCCUCUCUUUAGUAAUAGAGUUGGUAAGUAAAAAGUUACCAAGGCAAUUUUAUGCCUUUCUUCCAAGAAAAAACAAUACAUCAAACUCCUACAUGUUGGGCUCAGAAUAAAACACAAUGCCAAGGGCACCAACUCAUUUCUAAUAACCAGGCAGCAACCCAGAAAUGGCACCAUGCCAGGUUCUGAGGAACUCAGUAAUCCUACAUUAAGUAUUAAUGUUAACAGGACCUGAACAGAUAGUGGGAAAAGACCUCAAAAACUUUUAAGGCUGAAGUAUUUUGGGAAAUAUGCACUAGUAUGUAAUCUUUGUAAGGGAGGUUAAGUUUAAAAAUAGAUAAUUUUAAAGUCCUAAAGGUAUCCUUCCUUCACCAAGAUCACCAGAUUGAAAGAGCUUAAGCAGAUCUAAUUUGGUAUCCAAAGAACAGCAAGGGAGUAGGCUGAAACAAUAUCAAGUCACAGGAAAGCUUUUAUGGGAAAGCUUUGGACAUUCACGCACAAAAGCAGCAUAUUACUCUGAUUACUUACCUAGUGGUCUGUGAGACUCUCUUAAAGCAUCAAUACAGUGAAAUCUACUAACAGACUAAACCAACAACUGUCAGGUAUUUCUGGGUGGCAGGAUUUCCUUACAAUUGAAAUCUGAGGGUCCCCAAAGGCCUUUCAAAUUUUAAAAUAUUUAUCAAUUUAAAAAUAUUAAUAAGCCCUACACAUUAACAAAAAAAAAAAAAAAAAAAAAAAGAAAGAAAGAGAUUUUACUUCCCCUGCUCCCCGAAAAAUUAGUGAGAAGAAUGGCACUGUUUUUACACUGCUGCAAAUCUGGCUUAACAGAAGAUGCCUGUUGUCUCUUGAUUGUUUCUACAUUCAACACACCACAGUGUGUUGUGUUAGAUGAAGAAAAUCCACGUUCAUUCAAGUACGUAGUUGAAAAAGGAGUAUUUUAAUAGGCUUUUCAGGUAAUUAUGGUUAUCCCUUUGAUACUACACCAAAACUGGACAAGCAGUAGUUUCUUAAAGGUUCGUGGAAUCUGAAACCGUAUCAGCUGUCUGUUCCAUUAAAAUCCAAUGCUGUGUCUUGCAUUUUUACUCAUGCAUCAUUUUUUAACCUCACAAGCAUUGGAUAUUUGCAAAACACUGAUUCAGAGUUAUACAGAGCUUCCAAAUGUUGACACCUUUCAUUACAUAACAUCAAAAAAUUGCAGUCACUAAUAUUACUACUGAUCUUAUCUGAAAAUUCUUUGAGUAUUGGGAAGUUAUCCAACUGAGGAUAGCAGAUACAUGUUUUCCAAUAUUCUCAUUUGUGCUUGAAAGCUCAAAUUUUAUCAUAGCCAACAGAUACUGUCCACUGAGGCAACAAAUUCACUGUCCAUUUGAGAAAAUUUCUGCCGAAUAUCCAAGUCUGAAUAAUCAUCACUUAUUUGUCCAUAGUUAUUUCUAACAAAAAUAAUGUUCCAUGAAAGCAGCAGCUAGUUCACCUUAAAACCCAAGUGACUGCACCAAUGCUUUUCCUCCAGACAACCGCUGUGCUCUGGUCUGCAGCAGAAGUGCUUUGGUGUACCUUUCAUUUUGUCACAAAGAAUGUUUAACAGACAUGUACUCAAGAGUCAGAUUUAAUAAAAUUAGUUUUUACUGCAUCAUCAAAGACAUUCAUAUGUAAAACUGGCAUUUUUAAACUACUGGUUCAUGGUGAAGAUCACCAUGACUACUGGUACCAUUUGGUGUCACGGCCUUGAUUACGCCAAGGCACCGGCAGAUUUACCCACAUUGCUUUUGUACCACUGCUGCAAAUGUCAACACAGUCAAAAAGGCAAGCAUCAUAUUAUUAUGAAAAUAGUUUCCACUUCAUAGACCUUCUGAAAGAGUUGAGAAGUCAUCAGACCACACUCUAAAAUAGCUGCUUUGACAAUGGUGUGGACCUCUCUGAUCAGAAAAAUGCACAUAUGUACAAGUAUACACAAUAUGUGACAUACGACCUCAGAAGAUUUAAAAAGCCCUUAUAGCCCACUUAUAGAACAUCCUAGCUUAAAAAUUCCAUUAGAAAAUCCAGAAAAUCUCCAAAUUGGAUUUAAUUACUUCAAAACAACGUCUACUGGACAUUACAAACAACUCUGUUAAACAUUCCAACAACCUCAAAACACCCUCAUUUAAACUAAGAGAAAUAGCAAGCUUUUAAAUUAAAAAAUUACAUUACGGACAUUAGAAGGGAAAUUAAAUUUGAAGUUAAGAAUCCCAGUUACAUCACCUGCUCAAGGAUACACAAUUAAUCUUCCUAGCCUAGUUUCCUCAUCUAUAAUCUGGAAAAACAACAUCUACUUAUUUCAGUUUUGGUGAAGAUUAAUGAAAUCUAUAAAGCAGCUAACAUAGUACUUGGCACAUAGUUAAGCACCCAAUAAAUGCUGACCGCUGUGAUUAAGAUGACCAGGCCAUCUCUUCCUCAUGCUGAUUAUGUAGUGAUAAUAAUCAAAUUCAAUUAUUUAGAAGAAAUGUAAUUUAAGUAUCACCAAGACUUUCUCUUUACUACUACUAAAAAGGCACUUGUGGACCCUUGGUUACUAAAUUGUAUUUUCCAUUAUCACCUAAGGUAAAGAGAUUAUAGUUGAGAUUAGCUAAAACAUCUAUGUCCAGGGCACUCACUUCCAAAUGUCCCCUCUCUGUAAAGAGAGCUUUCCUACUAACUCUUCCUUUCUAAUCUUACAUUCUAAUAAACUUUUGCAAAAAAAUAAAAUAA